AAUUAUUAUAUUGAUACUACUAUGAAACUACAAUAAAAAUGUUAUGUUCAUUGAACCUUUUCUGUCGAACAUAGUUUUCUAAUCGAACAUAACUAUAUUUUCAUUUAACUAAUUGUUAUUUUAACGGAUAUCGGGCCUUUAAUCCGGGCUGUCAUCAAAAGGCAUCGUAUAACGACUGUCUUAUAAAUUGAAGGCCUCAUUUUAUGAUUUCAAAAUACUCUCAAAUAUUCUCAUCGAUGAUGUAUUAUUAUAUAGAUUUUGGAAUAGUCGUCAUUACAGCUUGUGUAUUGGAGUAAGUUUUAUGAAGGGGAUUUUGAAAAGAUCCUGAAGUAUUCUAUAUUUAAGAACUUUUCGAAAACAUCACUUGCAAAAACCUAUGCUUAAUAUAUCUCAAUGCUUAAGGAAGUCCCUACCCGGAAUCUAGAUCCACAGUUUAUGAACCCUCAGUGCCAAAGUAACACAAAAGACUAGAUGAAAGCAGUUUCAAACAAGCAUUUGAUUGACUAUACCGAUGUGGUUGGAGGAUUAACCAAUGUCAAUGUCAUCUACUUAAUAAAGUCUCCUGAGAACUAGUUCGUGUAUAUACAGACAGAUGGACGUAUAUAUAGACAAGCAGAUAGAAGGACAGACGGACAUGGCUAAAUCAACCCAGCUCAUCAUGCUAAUCAGCUAUGUAUAAUAUAUACAUAUGUAUGGUAUACAUUUUAUAGGGUCUCCGACGUCUUUUGGGUGUUACAAACUUCGUGGUAAACUUAAUAUACUCUGUUCAGGGUAUAAUUCUGGAAAACAUCGGCAAUCAUCACCAACAGGUCUAGUCAGUCAUAUUGCAUGCUUCGAUUUUGAAUAUUUUCGGCGUAGAUAGAAAAAAAGUAAACUUCUCGGUGCAAAUGAACGCAGUAACAGCAGCUACAGACGCUAAAAAUGUGAGAGAAGUAUGUGUUGUUACAGCAUAAAAAAAUUUUAGACUGUUGCUGGAGUAAAUUCCAGGAAAUAUUAUGGUUUUUUUCGCUAGUAAAAGUAGUCUCAUUUAUCAGUUGGGACUUCAAAAUAUUAGAAUUUAGUCUCAAACAAAGAAAGUCAUUGAAGAACAAUAAAAAAAAAAUAUUUUGAGAUGACUCGUUGAGUAUGUGUGCUGUGAAAGGUCAAAAAAGUUGCAAAUAUAGGAUGUAAACAUCUCUCAUAGUAGAAGUACUUGUUGCUGCACUCUCGUGUGCUUAUAUUACACUUAUUAUCAGGCACGAAAGCAAUUUGUGGGUGGUGAAUUCACGUUGAUUACUUGUUAACUCAAGUCUGCACAUUCCGAGAAGCACUGACACCAAUUGUUGCGAGUCAUUAAUUUCAAAGCAGCGUCCUACAAAGCGCACGCGAGAGCCGGCAAAACGCGCAAAAGCAACGAAGACAAAACUCGAAACAACAUCUACUUGAGUGCUAUUCAUACUACUUACGAGUAUAUUUGUAUGUAUGUACAUGUAUGUUUGUAUAAUUACUUAAUUUCAUUAAGCAGCCGUUGAAUACAUCAUUAAAAAAAAAACUUUGGAAAAAGUGCAAAGUUUAAAGUUCCGCAUUUUGUAAGCAACGACAAAAUGCAAAUCUUCUUAGCAUAAAACAAAAAAAAAAAAUAUAUAUAUAUGCACGUAGAUGUAAGACUUAAUAGAUAAUUUACAUAAAUACAAAGUACGAAGAUGAUAAAGCAACCAUUAUUGUCAAGUUCAAGUACAAAACCGUUCACCUUCGACGGCAAUGCGCGAUCGCAUUUAGCGAUUUGUCCACACUGGCGUAACUGUGAUAAAGUGAUCGGCACUGAGAGAGAUCAUUUUUCUUGUGUGAUUAUUUUCGCAUCAAAAUACUCCCUUUUGAGUUCAACUUAGCUCCAAUGUUUCUCAUUGUUCGCCUAUACAUCUGAUAUGUAUAUGUAUGUACAUAUUUAUAACGUAAUACAGAAUAAUCUUAAAAACCAGUUGAUCUUGAAAAUAUCAGCUAUGGAAAUAUCUCUCGCGUUUGCUCUCUGUGUUUUCUUGAGCAACUGGACUGGGCCAUUGAAACUAUGCGCGUUAACAGAAUCAGCAAGGCUAUUUUUCUAGAUCGAUACAAUCUCCUUUGUGUGAAGUUGGAGCCAAAUAUGACACAUAACUGUUGUAUUCGUGUGAAAGGUGGACGAAAAAUUACACCUAGCUGUCAAAUUUAUUUAUAAUUAUAAAAUAGUUUUUUUUUUGGUUUAACUCCAG